rnacentral:rRNA from 1 species
GUAGCUGGUCUGAGAGGAUGAYCAGCCACACUGGRACUGAGACACGGYCCAGACUCCUACGGGAGGCAGCAGUGGGGAAUAUUGGACAAUGGGGGCAACCCUGAUCCAGCAAUGCCGCGUGUGUGAAGAAGGCCUGAGGGUUGUAAAGCACUUUCAGYGGGGAGGAGGAUUARUAGGUUAAGAGCURAUUAAUUGGACGUUACCCACAKAAGAAGCACCGGCUAACUCCGUGCCAGCAGCCGCGGUAAUACGGAGGGUGCGAGCGUUAAUCGGAAUUACUGGGCGUAAAGGGUGCGUAGGUGGUUGAUUAAGUUAUCUGUGAAAUCCCUGGGCUUAACCUGGGAGGGUCAGAUAAKACUGUUURACUCGAGUAUGG